CGGAGCCCGGGGCGGCCGCGGCUGAGGCGGAAAAUCCGGCCCUGAACUCCUGCCGGGUUUAUGGGGACAGUGUUUUACACCCAGGAAGAUGAAGGCAGAUGGCCUUGGAUGUGACACUUCAUGGAAAUAAGAGGCAAAAAAUAUUCCAGGGUAUGAAAUCUCCCCGUAUUUUCAGUCUUUUUUGGCAAAAAAAGCUGAUUCUCCAGUCCUGGGAUGCAGAGUGUGUUGUCUGUCACUGGCGUUUUAUCCUCAUGCUGAGCUUGGACUGCCUGGCCAAAGAACAAGAGAUUUUGUCUUCUUGCACAUUUGAUGAAGUGCAGCAAGAGUGA
rnacentral:lncRNA from 1 species